UUGCAUUAUUUUUCUUAGUCAAGCACUAAAUUUAACCAAUCAAAAUUUCUGAAUUUAGAAAACCAACAGUCAUUACUCAUCGCCUCUCCUUACUUUAGAUCCAGCUCAAAAACAUUUACUCAAAACCAUCCCUUGUCAGUGACUUGCUCACUGCAUUUCUCUCUAUGUCUACACAAGAAAAGAGAAACAAACACUCGAAUACAAUUUGAGUUAAAACAAAAUUUAAAAAAAGGUCUUGACAUUGGGGAAGGCAAGAUUUUAAGACAACCUUCACUAAAUUCUCUAGAUAUUUGCUCAACCUUCUCUUUCCAGUUCUUUUGUAGGGAGAGGUUUGCUCAUUUAAGAUCAGGAAACAUUCUCUCUCCAUCAACUGCAAGAACAAGAAUGCCAAUGUGAUUCUUAUUUUCUCAAAAUUCUUUAAAAAAAUAAAAAUAGAAUCACCAGAAAAUUUACAUUCACACACUACAUACUCAAAUGGGACACCUUUCAAAGUUUCUACCAUCUAUUUCUAACCACUCUUCUCUGUAUUGCUUAAAACUCAAACCCUAUGAAGGUUCCAGAGAGUAAAACAUGCUGAAAUUAUUAUUUUCAUCAUUUCUUUUAAAAAAUUAAAUCAAAAUUUAGGUGGGUGUAGUUUUGUUUUUAUGAUUUCAAUACGUGGGGAAUCAGGAGCACAAAUUUUUGUAUUUAAAUCACCCCUCCCUGUUUCACUCAUUCCAUGAUCUUGUUCAUAUUCAUUCAUUGAACACAACUCCCCUUUUUUCUCUCAAGCCAACUAGAAAUACUAAAAGGUUAAAUCUGGUUUCAGAAGAAAGAGCUGCUGCCCUAAGAAAACUUCUACAGAAAGACUGUCUGGAUGCUAAGAUACUAUACAACACCCGAAGCACACAGAUGGUGCAGAAGCUCUUUCGUACAACGUUUUCUGAUCCUCCUACAUCCCUUUCUUAGCCGCUAAACCCAAAGAAAAAUAAGGGCUUUGGCUUAUUGGAAAUUCAAAGAAGAUUUUCAAGGGUGGGAUUGGCGCUACUCUCCUCUCCUUCAAGAAAAAUCUUUUUCUCAAGAGUUGCUCAGCUUUCCAUAGGGUUGUUGCUAAAGCAGAUUCAUCACCCAGUCAGGUGAAGGUUCUAAACCUGGAAUUAAGACCGACACUGGAGGAACAGACCAGGUAUGGAGAAACGCACAAAGUAAUUGUACAGAAGCCAGGCUCACCGCGCGUCUGUGCCAAUUUUCUGAGGUGACUGUCAGAAAAGCGGGAGAGGUACCAUCGUUUCGAGGGAAUGAGAGCUUUUCGUUUUUAUCCAAAUUCUCCCAGGAUUGGCCUGGCUUUUCCUCUUACAGAUUUGCUUUGCUGUAUAUCAGUCCUGUUUAUUCGCAAAUUACUACAAAUACUCCCAGGAAAAUAGAUACCUACUACACUCACCAAGAUCAAGGAGGUGAAUCCUGACAUUCGGAAGAAGAAAUCAUUAGGAGAAAAUACGGGUCUUUGUACUUGAAAGUCUUAUACUUUGAGAUUUUAUAAACAAGUCCUGAAAUAGAAGCAAGUUAUGUUAGAGAUUGAAGUGAGGAGUGACCUCCUUCUUGACAUCACCCAUUGAAGACAAGUGCUCUUCACCAUUUUCCAGGAACUUGUUCAACCCAAAUCAAAAGAGUAGAAACAGCCCAGAAAUAUUACUGAUAUGGAAUUAUUUACAGUAAUCUUGAGGAUGGCUAGAGAAUUCUCCAGUGGUUGAAAAUAGGAGGUCUAUUACAGAGCUUAAAACUGGUGUUACUACACUCUUCACUGAUAAAAGCACAGGCUUAUUUUUUCUUGAGAGGCAUGCAGUGAAUCUACAAUGGGAAAUUGCAAAGGACACUGCUCCAGGAAAGGGGCUCUGUCACCCUCUUAUUCUCAGUUUUUAUAGGACUGAGUGAGAAUGGCCUUGCCAUUGGUGAAGCAUGGAGAAGUGUUCAGAUUAGUUGUCAGCUGUUCUGGAGGAAGCUUGAACACUGGUUGUUAAACACUGUUGUUUACACAGCAAAGAUAACAUGUGAAAGCCUUGUGGGGUGAUUGACAUCUUUAUGGCCCAUUCCACUAGGAUGAAGGGGAAAGUUGUUUUUUUUUUAAAUUUACCUACUUGUGAUGGUAUCUUAGCACAUGUAUACAUGUACUCUCAACUUCUAUCCUCCAAAUACCAGAACUUUCUUCAUUUUUUCAUCCUAAUAUUAAUAAUAUCUAUCAAUACAUUUUUUUCUAAAAUGAUUAUAACAAAGAUUCUUCAUAUCAGAAUUCCUGUUCACCUCUUUUAGUAUGCUUUCUUCUUCCAAAAAUGUAUCAUUAUUUGAGUCUCCCAGGUCUUUGCUAUUUGAAUUGAGGUAAAUCUGUAACUGUUAAAGAUUCUGAUAAAUAUAUAUCAACUCUUGGUAUAUAUUAAUUAAUAUAUAUUAACGUCAUUAUUUUAGUCCAAACUGUAUUGUGUUCAUCAAAUAACUUUCAGAGAAACUAUAUUUUUUAAUUACAGUUAUUUCCUAGUUGCACUGUAGAUAUUUUUUCUCUUUGAGUUCGUUUUGGUAGACUCUUCUUUCAUGGGAAAAACCAGGAGUUCCCAUCGUGGCGCAGCAGAAACAAAUCGGACUACGAACCGUGAGGUUGCGGGUUCGAUUCCUGGCCUCGGUCAUUGGGUUAAGGA